UACGGAGGAUCCAAGCGUUUAUCCGGAAUCAUUGGGGUUUAAAGGGUCCGUAGGCGGUUUGGUAAGUCAGUGGUGAAAGCCCAUCGCUCAACGGUGGAACGGCCAUUGAUACUGCCAGACUUGAAUUAUUAGGAAGUAACUAGAAUAUGUAGUGUAGCGGUGAAAUGCUUAGAGAUUACAUGGAAUACCAAUUGCGAAGGCAGGUUACUACUAAUGGAUUGACGCUGAUGGACGAAAGCGUGGGUAGCGAACAGG
rnacentral:rRNA from 1 species